CGCGCAGGUGGUUGAUUAAGUCUGAUGUGAAAGCCCGCGGCUUAACCGUGGAGGGUCAUUGGAAACUGGUCGACUUGAGUGCAGAAGAGGGAAGUGGAAUUCCAUGUGUAGCGGUGAAAUGCGUAGAGAUAUGGAGGAACACCAGUGGCGAAGGCGGCUUCCUGGUCUGUAACUGACACUGAGGCGCGAAAGCGUGGGGAGCAAACA
rnacentral:rRNA from 1 species